UACGUAGGGGGCGAGCGUUACCCGGAUUUACUGGGCGUAAAGCGCGUGUAGGCGGCUGGUCACGCGUGGUGUGAAAUCUCCGGGCUCAACCCGGAAACUGCAUUGCGAACUGACCUGGCUGGAGUGCAGGAGAGGGCAGCGGAAUUCCCGGUGUAGCGGUGAAAUGCGUAGAUAUCGGGAAGAACACCGAUGGCGAAGGCAGCCCCCUGGGUCAAAACUGACGCUCAUGCACGAAAGCGUGGGGAGCAAACAGG
rnacentral:rRNA from 1 species